rnacentral:lncRNA from 1 species
AAUUCCUCCUCUGUUGAACUCGCCUUCAGACCUACUAACGAUUGAAAUCAUGAUCCCAUAAUUUUCUCCCCUUUAGAAUUGUUUCCUUUUUUUAUUCCAUCCAAGGUUUCGCAUCUGCUCCUCUGCUCCACCAGCAUCCAGACACCAUAAUCCUUAUCUACAGUAACCACAAAAGUUGUAGAGGUUUGUUCCAACAUCUUUCCUUUCUCUUUCACCUCUAAAGAAUGUGUGACAAACGGACAGGCUCCUUGAUGUGUCCAUAACAACCACACUUAAAGCAUACCACAGGUAUGUUUUCAUACUCAAUCCUUUGAGGGUUACCAUUGAUGAGAAUCUUAGAAACUAAAGGUCUCCCUAAAUUGACAUAAACUGCCAUGCGAGUAUAACAACCCCGUGCUCUGCUUUUUUAAAUCUAAUUUUGUAACUUUGCAUACCAUUCCCUCAAUCUCUAUUAGAAUCUAUUUUUUUAUAAAAGUGACUAGGAAGACCAGAAAAUCGAAUCCAUGUGAGGACCAUAUUAAGGUAAGGUAAAAUAGCGUUAAAUCAAUCGUCAAUGGUUGAACGAUUAGAUAAUGGCCGAAAGUAACCCAUGGAACUUGGGAGAGGAUCUUAUCAUAGUCAUCAGUGCUUUGAUAUUUAGCGAGAAAAUAACCAUUCUCUAUAUCUAUUAAUUGAAAAGGCUUAGAUGGUCUCCAAAUCCCAUUUAAUCUAUUAUGCAAAGUCGUGAUUCCAAGGUUUCGACCAAGCAUCUUGAGUACCACAAAGGUUGACAUUUCUUUUUCCUAGAGCUGAUAUACUCUCUCCAAGAAAUUGAUUGAAUGAACACCAUUAACAAACGAUUUCUUGACGUCCUACUCUGUGAGGGAGAAAUUAUCAACAAGGAAGUGGCCAUUAUUUGUAUUAUUCUACACAAAAGUAUCCUUCCCCACUAGCAUAUCUUUUCAAGAAAGAGAAGGAGUUGGUGUGACUCCACAACUAUCAUAUCUUCAGGAAUCACGUCCAAUUCCGUGAAUCAAACCUUCUUAGUGUUGGAAUCCUUAGGAAGAGAAUCACCUUCUCUAUUGUUGUCCAUAUUAGAAACCGAAGAAGACGAGAGCAUAUUUUCUAUUACCGCCGUUCUAUUUUUGCUCUUAAAGUUUUUACAUAAAGACAUUAGGUUAAUAGUUUAUGAGAUUUUAGAGUUUAAAACACAUGAAGAAACAAAAAGAAAAAUCAAUAAAAAAAAACUAUUUUAGGAAUUUAAAAUCGAUGAUAAUCAAAACUAAAAAUUUAUCAUCUUCCUAUCUCAUUAUUUAUUAUUAUUUUCCUUUAGCAACUCAAGAAAAUUGAAUCCAACGUUAAUUACAAAGAAAAUCAGAUCAGAAUCAAAAUUAAAUUCAAAAAGUGAAGAUUUUUGGAAUAAUCUUUCUUGCCAUCUUUGAAAUAUAGUUUUAAGGGUAAAUUAUAAAAAUAGUCAAUUUUGUUUGUUUUAUAUUACAUUUUAGUUGGUAUUUAAAACCUAUUUGGACUACUAUGUAGAACCGUCGUUAGAGAUGUAACGGAGUUCAACGGUAGAGUAAUUACUUUGUAACAAUAUGAUAAUGUAAGUGACCAAAACGUAACAUUAUAUUUCAAACAUAAAUGACUAAUGUAAUAUGAGGUAAAUAAAAAUAAUUAUUUUUAUAACUUACUCUAGUUUUAAUUGUUUUAGGUCUACGCAUUGUAUGGUAGUUUUUUAUUUCACACUUGCAAUAUUUUUUGUCAAUUUCUCUUCCCAUAUUAAUAGGAUUAAAAUAAAACCUAUAAUAUAUGAAAUCAUAGGAGAAAUUCUUAAAACCCUAACUAUAAUUUAUGAAAUUCAACUCUACAUUCAUGGACAUCGAAUUCAACUGUGAUAGAAAUUUUAAACUCGAAUAUUAAUUAAUUUAAUUAGUUAAGUUGACAAGCUCGCAUCCUGAGAAUUGUUUAUGGCACUUGGAGGGCUCAUGUCCAAUCUUCAAUACAAUUAAAAGUAAAAUAUUCAUUUAUAUAUAUAAACAUCAUGCGAAAAUAUAUAAAAAAAAACAGAAAAAUCAAUUAUCAUAUUCAAUUACAUAGAAAACUAUAUUACACAUACAGAUUUUGAUUCUUCUCUCUAGUUUACUUUCGAUCUAGGGUCCAUCUGACUUGAUUUUGGAUGGACGCAAUUGCUUCAAAGGUCGUCGAGACUUGAUCAAGAAAAUGGGUUGGAACCUCCUUUCUUCAUUUCAUUUGGAUCAAAAGACAAUUUUCUUCAGAAUUGAUAUAGUAUUCGUCGGAAUUUUUUGAAGUUCUUCAUCUUCUUCAGAGAUUUCUACAGAGAUCUUAUAGGCUUUUUGAAUUUCUUGGCCCUCUUUUUAUAGUGUCAAUUACUUGAAUAAAAGAGAAUUUUAGUAGAAUUUAACUGCUUCAUUUGAUUGUUUUACAAGAAUUUAAACUCUUUUUAUUUAUUAUUUAUCUCUUAUUAAUUUAAUUAAUUAGAGAUAAAAUAAUCAUUUAAUAUUAUCACUUAAUUAUUUUAUUUUUUUAAUUAGUAAUAAUAUAAAAUUUUAUUGUUUAUCUCUUAAUUAAUUUAAAUUAAUUAAUGAAAAUAAUUAUAAGUUAUCAUUUUUUUACCUUAGUAAUUUUGGCUUUACCCAUAAUAAUUUCGACUUGACAUGUGGUGCUUUAUGAUUGGUUCAAAAUUUUUCUUUGUCUACAUAUAUAUAUAUUAAAUCAAGUUCUAAUAUCACAUGUAAAAAUUUAAGGUCUUGAAAUCAUGCAAAAAAAAAACCCUAAUAUUGUAUAAAAAUAAUAAUUAUAAGAUGUUGAGGCAAGUUUUUUUCUUGAAAUUAUUGGCUAAGUGCCAAUCAAAUGUGGUCACUUCCAUCAACAAUAUGAUAGGCUACUUAUCAUAGUUGAAGCUGGCAAUUAAAAAAAAAAAUUAGGCUUUGAAUAGUGUUCAUAUUAUGGAUAUAUGCAAGCUCGACUUUGAAGGUCAAUCCUUUUAAAGUAACUUUCUUUGAAGGAUGGAUUGGUUUGGAUCAAGCAAUUGCAUCCCUUAGAUUGUGGAAAACGGAUCGAGAUCAAUUGAAGAAUUAAUUUUCAUCAAUCCACUUUACAUUGGCAUUUAUUAGUAUAUUGUAUUUUUCUAUUUUGUAGUUGCUAUUGUUAAGGGGUUGGAUUGUAAUUGAUCUCUAGUAUGUUAGCAAAUCUUAAAAAGGCCUAUAUAUUGAGAGACUUGUAUAGGUUUAUGUAUUGAGUAUAUAAAGCAUUUUAUUGUUCAUUGAGGAAUGUUAUUGUGAGUGCAUUUGAGAGUAAACAAUUUCUAUUUACAACCUAAAUUCUCAGGGGGAAAAUUCAAAGGUGGGUGUUAUAUGUCUUUAAGGUACAAAAGUAAGGUUGUUAUACUAGGAGAGUGAUAGAACUUGAAUCACUUAUUGUAUUGGGGAUUAAAAAUAGUGGAAUUAGUCACUGAACUAGACUUUACAGACAUAGGGAAAUCAAACUAUGUAAACAAUCUCUUGUGUCCUUUGUUUACUCUAUUUUAGUUUGCUCAUCGUAGAGGCACCUGAAGUUGCCACUUCAAUCAAACACUACUAUUCAACACUCAAUGUUUCAAACUAAUUAGCAAUUGUUCAAUUUAACAAUUGGUGUAAUUCCCCAAAAUCCUAUUUAUUUAUUUUUUGUAUGUCUAUAACAUAAGUGUGUAUUCACUUCAAUGGUUAAAUGUUCUGGGUGUGUAUGGGAAGUCUCAAGUUCAAGCCAUGUCUUUGGAAAAUUUUGGUAUUUUUAUGAAUAAAGCCUUAUUCUUGUUCAAUAGGCUUAAGUUUAAAUGUUAGUAAGAUUAUACUAGAAUGGGCCUGUUGGUCUGAUGGAUAAGAGGAGUGCUGGUGUUGUUGGAGGUCUGGAGUUAGAUUCCCUGCGCGAGUAAGGGAUUUAUUUUUACUGCUAGUGCCAUGUAGGAGUUUGAUUUCAGUGAAAUGCUAGCUAGUGGAGAGGUUGAUGGAGAAAAUUAAGGAGUGGGUGAUAAGAGAGUUGUCAGAAUCUGAGUAGUUGCUUCAAUUAGGAAUUUUUGGUUUCUCUCUUUCUCUCAAAAUUUUCUCCCUUUAUUGCCGUGUUCUUCACUAUUCUCCUUUGCUACCGAUUUUUGCUUUCAUCUUUUUGCUGAGAUUACUCUCUCUUUCUCUUUUUCUCCUUGGUUGUUACUUUGAUUCGUGUCUUGACCUCUCUUCUGUUUUUCUGCGCUUCGCUCCUAUCGAUUGAUCAAUAAGUAUAGUUUUGUUUGACUUUAUCUGAGUUUUGGACGAAUGCUAUUAAGGUUUUUGACUGGUGGUUAGGAGUUAUUCAGAGGACUGAUUAUCGUUCUUGAAUGAGUUAAGCGUGUAGAAGUCACCGUUGCUCGUGAAGGUAAGGUUAUCGGUAUUUUUCGAGAGUUAUUUAUCCCUUAACAAUUCGAUUUAGGUGACUGAAACUGGACUUCCUAUUGUCAAAUAUAGGUUCCGGAGUGCUCGGGGGUGAUUUUACGUAAAAAACGACAAGGUGUUUACUCUGAUUGCAUAGAAAACGAUAGUCAGCGAAAGCUGAAAAAGCGUUCUGUCAACGCCACACGGGUGUGUGGUCGCCCGUGUGGUAGGCCGUGUGGUAGUAUACGGGCGUGUGACUGACGAACCAGGCGUGCGCGCGUAACACGGGCGCGAUAGACAUAACCAUGUGAGGACUGGUGAGGCCGUGUGCGAGACACGGGCUCAGCUAUUUGGGCCUUGUGGGCCACACGGACAUGUGGGCCACACAAGCGUGUGAAAAUUCGAGCAAAGCCAUGUAGAAAUUUGGGCCGUGUGGUCCCACACGGGUAGGCCACAUGGGCGUGUGAGCCCAUUUUUCUGCAAUGUUCUGUAAGGUUGCACAGGUCGCCCAAGUCGACUGUGACCUGUCGUAGGGUCAGUAAGCCUUACUUAGACCCUUGUUUCUGUGAUAUGAUAUUGUGUUGCACGUGUUAAUAUAUAUUAUAUCUAGCAUGUAUCUAUGUACUGUUCUGAAUAUAAACGUAUGAUCUAUUUACCUGCAUUAUAGCAUGCCACAUUGUAUGAGGCAUUGUAUCGGGGUGGGUUUGAUGAAGUGAAGGAAGUAUCUGAAAGACUUCAUAAGCCUAUUAUCUGGUAGCUAAGCUGCAUAUUUAUGACAUAUACUGCAUUGCAGUACUUUAUGGUGUGUAGGGUUGGAUGGGUCAAUUUUAUCCCCAUAUUUGGUGUGCAGGGAUGGGAGGGUUGAUUUUAUCCACACAUGGUGUGUUGGGUUGGACGGAGUUGGUGUGCAAGGUUGGUGGACAUGUUCUAUUAUUCUAAUUUGUUAUGCAUGAUAUAUAUAUAUGUAUAUAUAUAUAUCUGAGAUGGGCUAAAGCCCUAAGUCUGUAUCUGGUUCUGUUUCUGAGUGGCCCAAGGGACCCACAACUUCUAUAAAGGGUUCAGGCCUGAAUUAUGACUGUAUUUUGCUAUUUGACUGUAUGCAUGUUGAACUGUGGGGAUGUACACACUGAGUUGCGAAAACUCACUCUUUAUCUGUUCGAUCUGUUCAGGUAAUCCCCAACAGUAUAUGGAUCAGUGCAGCGAAGGACUCGAUGGUGGCCACAUACUUUUGGACGAUUUUAAAUUCAAUUUUGGUAUUUCUUUCUUAAUUAUUUUCUAGGUUAAGGUUAAUGUAAUUUGAGGACUUUAUGGACUUUAUUUGGAUAUUUAAAACGGUUUACGGGAUUUUAGCUUAA